rnacentral:rRNA from 1 species
AGAUGGCGACCGGUGCACGGGUGAGUAACACGUAUCCAACCUGCCGAUAACUCGGGGAUAGCCUUUCGAAAGGAAGAUUAAUACCCGAUGGUAUAAUCAGACCGCAUGGUCUUGUUAUUAAAGAAUUUCGGUUAUCGAUGGGGAUGCGUUCCAUUAGGCAGUUGGUGAGGUAACGGCUCACCAAACCUUCGAUGGAUAGGGGUUCUGAGAGGAAGGUCCCCCACAUUGGAACUGAGACACGGUCCAA